rnacentral:rRNA from 1 species
GGUGAACGCUGGCGGCGUGCCUAAUACAUGCAAGUCGAGCGAACACACGAUGAGCUUGCUCCUCUGACGUUAGCGGCUGACGGGUGAGUAACACGUGGAUAACCUUCCUCUAUUACUUGGAUAACUUCGUGAAACCGGUUCUACUACCAGCUCAUAUAUUCAACCGCUUGGUUCAAUAGUUCUUGACGGCUUUGCUGUCACUUUUAGAUGGAUCCGCGCCGCAUUAGCUAGUUGGUAAGGUAACGGCUUACCAAGGCAACGAUGCGUAGCCGACCUGAGAGGGUGAUCGGCCACACUGGAACUGAGACACGGUCCAGACUCCUACGGGAGGCAGCAGUAGGGAAUAUUCCGCAAUGGGCGAAAGCCUGACGGAGCAACGCCGCGUGAGUGAAGAAGGUCUUCGGAUCGUAAAGCUCUGUUAUUAGGGAAGAACAAAUGUGGAAGUAAAUAUGGACGUCUUGACGGUACCUAAUCAGAAAGCAACGGCUAACUACGUG